rnacentral:rRNA from 1 species
CCUACGGGGGGCUGCAGUGAGGAAUAUUGGUCAAUGGACGAGAGUCUGAACCAGCCAAGUAGCGUGAAGGAUGACUGCCCUAUGGGUUGUAAACUUCUUUUAUAAAGGAAUAAAACGAGGCACGUGUGCCUUUUUGUAUGUACUUUAUGAAUAAGGAUCGGCUAACUCCGUGCCAGCAGCCGCGGUAAUACGGAGGAUCCGAGCGUUAUCCGGAUUUAUUGGGUUUAAAGGGAGCGUAGAUGGGUUGUUAAGUCAGUUGUGAAAGUUUGCGGCUCAACCGUAAAAUUGCAAUUGAUACUGGCAGUCUUGAGUACAGUUGAGGUAGGCGGAAUUCGUGGUGUAGCGGUGAAAUGCUUAGAUAUCACGAAGAACCCCGAUUGCGAAGGCAGCUUACUAAACUGUGACUGACAUUGAUGCUCGAAAGUGUGGGUAUCAAACAGGAUUAGAUACCCCGGUAGUC